AGGAGGAGGUCAAGGAGGAGGUCAAGAAGGAGGAGGAGGUCAAGGAGGAGGAGGAGGUCAAGGUGGAGGUGGAUGAGGAGGUCAGGAAGGAGGAGGCGGUGGAUGAGGAGAGGAAGUUGCUGGAGGACGUGAGGGUGGCGCCAGUGUCCAAGCCUCCACCGGUGAGCUUUCAACCCACUGAAAAGAAGAAGAAGAAGCUGUGGGAGAGGCUCAUGAACCUUUGUGGUUUGAGGCACCGGUGUUAAUUUCACUUGCUUCUCAGCCAAUCAGCAUUCACACAGCACUUUCACACAUUUGAAGCGCAGGAAAUGCAAGUUCCUGUUUUGAACUCCUAUUCUCUUUUCUUCAGCUUCUCUUUUUCUGCUGUUCGACACAUAUUUCCAUCGUACACCCUGUUCAUAUACACAAGCCUGUAGGAAAAUGCCGUUUAUUCAGUCUCAAAGCCAUAGGACCAGCGAGGGAGCAUUUCUACCAUACAAGUGUUGGUCUGACCCGCCAUCUUGCUAUAACCUCUGCGUCGUGUAUUUGUGGAGUUAAGGAGAAUGAGAUGAAGACCACUGACUUGUCAGCAGGAUGGAGAAUUUAUUCUGUGUAAAACACAAUGAUGUCAGUACGACAACUUCAUGCGGUCUGGAUUCUGACAUGCACACUGCAGUGGACGCAUGAGGAACCGUAGAAACCAUGUAGCCUAGCUUGACAGCGGUCACUUGGCGAGUUAAACAAAAGUGCUGUACUUGAUUUGAAAAAACAAACAUUUACACACUGAUAUAAUCUCAUUACUGCAACAGACCAAAGUUCUUGACUCGAAUAAAGUAAUAUUUGAACCUACGUUUAGUGUUUUUACCACAUUUCUCAUGGACAGCAUUGGAAUUGGGUACUUGCGGAGUUCCACAGGGUUCCGUGUUGGUGCCACUCCUGUUUAUCAUUCACCUCCUUCCUCUUCUACCUCCCUCUCGUCUACUGGCUCUACCAGACAUCAGGCUCAGCACAGUGGACACCAGGUCUUACUCCCAUGCAUUAUAAAAACUCUGGACCUCCGUCCCUCCUCACAUCCGCUCACUGGACUCAUUACACGAUUCAAAACUGCUCUUAAAACUCAUCUUUUUUAAUUAACCAACGCACUUUAACUGUCUCAUCUGCAUCUUGUUAUUCAAGACUGUUGAUUUGAAUUCAUUUCUGCUCAUUGCCCUAUCAAAUGUUUUGUUUUAUCAAUCCUUCAUUGUUUAUUGUAUGUCUAUUACUGUACUUAAUGUAAGUUGACCUUGAGUGCCACGAAAGGCGCCAUUAAAUAAAAUGUAUUAUUAUUA